CAAUAAGCGGAGGAAAAGAAACCAACAGGGAUUGCCUUAGUAACGGCGAGUGAAGCGGCAAAAGCUCAGAUUUGAAAUCUGGUGUCAUUUUGGCAUCCGAGUUGUAGUCUGUAGAGGUGUAUUCGAGUGUAGCUUUGGCUUAAGUUCCUUGGAACAGGACGUCAUAGAGGGUGAGAACCCCGUUAACGGCCUUUGUCUUAUGCUCAUGUGAAUCUCCUUCAACGAGUCGAGUUGUUUGGGAAUGCAGCUCUAAAUGGGUGGUAAAUUCCAUCUAAAGCUAAAUACUGGCAAGAGACCGAUAGCGCACAAGUAGAGUGAUCGAAAGAUGAAAAGAACUCUGAACAGAGAGUUAAAUAGUACGUGAAAUUGUUGAAAGGGAAGCACUUGCAACCAGACGCACUUGCAGCCGAUCAAUUCUCAUUUUUGAGGGUGCACUCGGUUGUCUGUGGGUCAGCAUCAGUUAUAGUGGUAGGAAAAAGACUCAGGGAAUGUAGCUUCUUUCGGGGAGUGUUAUAGCCUUUUGUGCAAUGCUGCCUGCUGUGACUGAGGACCGCGCUUUGGCGAGGAUGCUGGCAUAAUGGUUGUAAGUGACCCGUCUUGAAACACGGACCAAC
rnacentral:rRNA from 1 species